rnacentral:rRNA from 1 species
UACGUAGGGGGCUAGCGUUGUCCGGAAUCAUUGGGCGUAAAGCGCGUGUAGGCGGCCCUGUAAGUCCGCUGUGAAAGUCAAGGGCUCAACCCUGGAAAGCCGGUGGAUACUGUCGGGCUAGAGUCCGGAAGAGGCGAGUGGAAUUCCUGGUGUAGCGGUGGAAUGCGCAGAGUAUCAGGAGGAACACCGAUGGCGAAGGCAGCUCGCUGGGACGGUACUGACGCUGAGGCGCGAAAGCGUGGGGAGCGAACAGG